rnacentral:tRNA from 2 species
AAAGAAAUUUUUAAAAAAAGCUUCUAACUUUUUACCAAGCAUUAAAUUGUUUAU